GGGGAGACAGGCAUCACUCCAGUCCCCGCCGCUGGCUCUUUGACUCUAAAUUGACAGGUCCCUUUGCAGUGGACGUUGGUGCUACUCCUUUGGCAGUGCCAACAGAAGUUUUGCAAAGUCUCCUAAAGGUUCCUGAAAAUCACAUGGCAGGCAUCCACCCUGUGGUACUGUGCCAUGUCUCAGAAACCGCUUGAUCCAGUGACCCGAAUAUACACCACUAAUACUACCCCAGACUCCAUUGAUCAC